CGACGUGUCUAUAAAGAUGGCUUCAGAGUGUUUGUUCUCUCUGUGAAGGAUGCGGCUUGCAGCAGAUCAGGAGCUCUGGGUUCCGGGCUGACAGGAAGGCUGGGCUUGCCCUGGCCUUUGGAACAAACAGAUGUGGUUAAAGGGACCGGAGCUUUGCCUGACCCUCGUCUUCAUCGCUUCUUAUUUUACCAACAAGUAUGUCCUUUCACUUCUGAAGUUUACCUAUCCCACAAUUUUUCAAGGCUGGCAGACAUUUGUGGGAAGUAUGUUUCUUCAGAUAGCCUGGAAACUAGGAAGGGUGGAAAUGAGAAGUAAUGUUCUAUGGUCUGCCAAGGUUUCCUGGAUCCCUGGUGCAUUACUGUUUGUGGGUAAUAUUUAUGCAGGUUCCCGGGCAUUAUCUAAACUGCCUAUUCCGUUCUUCUUGCUGCUUCAGAAUACAUCAGAGGUUAUUGUCAGCAUCUUCCUGAAAAUUAUCAGGAAAGAGAAAUUGUCUUUGAUUAAAUUUCUCAGCGAGUUGAUGAUUCUCAUAGCUGCUGUCAUUUUGCCAUUGAAUGACCCUCAGUUUGACCCAGGCGGCUAUUUUUGGGUAGUGAUGCACUGUGUGUGUGCUGGUGGAUACAAAGUAUUUCAGAAAUUAUCAAAAUCUUAUUCACUAAGCAAGCUUGAACAACAGUUUUUAAACUAUUUAUACAGUGUGGUGAUAUUGAUCUUAGCAGCUCAUCCUUCAGGUGAUGCUUUUGGUGCUUUGGAGUUCCCACACCUCAAUUCUUACCGAUUUCACAGUAGCUGUUGCGCAAGUGGAAUUCUUGGUGUGUCCCUGAUGCUGGUCUCUGUAAAGGUGAAGAGUUAUCUAUCUGCAGAGCAGUAUGGUAUAUGGAUACUGUUAACAAAGAUGCAGUAAACUUACUUCCGAUGCUGAGGAAUCCAGAACAAAAGGCCACCAUCUGAAAAUUAAGAUAGGCCAUCACGUAUAAGUGAAAUUAAGAAGCACUGUACACAAAGGGUAGUCAAAAUAUGGAGGUUGCUCUCCCAAAAUGCUGUGGACGCUGGAUAAAUUAAAAUUUUUCAAGACUGAGAUGGAUAAAAUAUUUUCAGUGUAUUCAAGAGGCAGGUUUUGACUGCGUGUUUGUCAUUGGUUGUCUUUGAGACUCUUUUGAAUGUACCUACAAGUUGCUGCCUCAUGUUUGGAGCACUUGGGGAAGCCUUACUUGUUUAUGCUGAGAGAAAUGGAGCAGAAAUAAAAGGAUGAAGAUGGUGCCACAUAUCUAGAUGCCACAUUUCUUCUUGUUUAGAAGUCCAUUUCUCAAAGGAAAUGAUGUACAGAUUACAAUUUUCAACAGAAAAGCAAUUUUCCCCUUCCCUCCUUUCUACAAAUAGACAUGAUUGAAGAACACAUAGGCAGCUCAGUGAUUAAGAUUUUGUCUUGAGGCCUUGGACAACAAAAAUUUUUACUAUGCCGUGUGAAAACCUAAAGAGGAAGAAACCGGCAGUGUAUCUGAUGACAACAAUGUGUGUGUGUGUGAACCACUUUUAGCUUUACCUUCUCAUGCUGGGAACUGGAACACUGCGGUCAAUUCAUAACAGGAACAGGAAAUGUAGUUCUCUCCUCUGGAUGCCCCAGCCCUCUGACAAGGCCUCAGAGAGGAUUACUGUGAACAAUGCAGCAACACAAAUAAAGAUUAUUUAAAUA